GCCUUCUUUGAUUAAUGUUCUGUUUAUGACAAUGUCUUCUUUGAUUAAUGUUGUGUUUAUGCAAUGCUGCUAGUUGGCUAGGAGUUGAUAAUCGUUAUACUGUGUAAAAGUAUAAAUGCUACUCAGUUGUUGGUUUAUUAGACCAUAAUCAGUAAAAUUUCUAGUAAUCGACAAUUUCAACUGGUCUAUGAUAUCAUAAUCAUAUUAAUUUCUAGUAACCUACGUUUGGAGGGUAGAUUUAAACUACUGUAUGAUUUAGUAAGCACACGAGUAUUUACACAUGAUUCCAUUGGGUCACUAGCAGUAAAGUCUCCACUUUGUUUCUUUACAUUUACUCCCUCGGUCUGUAUUUCAGCUAUACUGUUAAACAAGUUAAAAUUACAUAAAUUUCCCUCCAUUUUAUCUACAUUCUUGCCUUCACAUGGUUCCAACUUCACGUUAGUUUUCACAUCAGAAACAUGUUCCAAACCAGAAUCAUUACCGGAAUGUGGUGAUUCUUUAGGGAGGUAAUCUGGUCUUUUUGUUCUGGACUGGUGAUUGAAGUAGAACUUUCACUCUCCUGUGAUAACUUGUCAGCUAUGGAUACCAACAAGUCAAAGGCGCAUAUUUUGCUACCCUCUGAUGAUUUCCUAUGUGAACUCCUCUAAAGAAACAAAAAAAUGUGUCAAUAUGAGUUUCAAUAGGAAGAAAAACUCAGUAGCAGUUAAACCGCUAUAGAAAGAAUUUGCUACAAACCCCUUUGCCUGCAUUUGAUAAAAGAAAAAGAGAAAUAAGAAUGAAAAUGAAUAAUUAAGAAACCAUGGACAAAGAUAAAUAGAUAUAAAGCAAGUGAUAUUUAUACUAAAGAAGGAAUAUGAGAGAAGAAAACAUACAGCAGGGGUCUUAGAGUUUGUGGGGAAAUAGGAGAACCUUUCGACCCACAUUGAGACAUAAUCAAGGGGCUGUUUCUCCAAUGUAGUUUUUCCAUACACACCUGUCCAAAAAUCAAAAAUGUAUUUGUUUUCCAUCAGUGAAACAAAACUUUUGCAUAGUUUUAUCCCAAUUUAUUUUAUACGGUUUACAAUCUUGAUUACAUCAAUAGUUGAUAGAAAACAAACAAAUGGAUGGAGGUAUUUAAUAUUACCUUUCCAGUUUCAUCUCUGAUCUUAUUCAAGACACCUGUGAUCUAAGCUUCGAGGGUCUGAGCAGCAUUGCAACCAGGUUGAACAUCAUCAAUUCCAAUUGAGAAUCCAUGAUCUCCUAUCCACCGAGCACUGCAUCAAAAUAAUCUCAUCAUACACUUUCACCAAACAUCUAUGCAGAGCUCAAAACUUCUCCAAUAGCAGCAGCCUCACUUGGGCAGGUGUAUAAGGGUAGAUUAAAAGAAAAUGGGGAUUUGGUUGAUGUUAAGGUACAAAGGCCUUAUGUACUUGAAACGGUAACUGUUGAUUUAUUCAUCAUAAGGAACUUGGGAUUGGCUCUUAGACGUUUUCCUCAGGUCUGAGGUUAUCCAUUGGAAAUUUACCAUUACAUAUGGAUGGGGUACUAGUGCAAACAACCAAGAGCAGGAGGAUCCGUAUGGUAGAAAGAAAAACCAGAAAAAGAAGUGCUGAUAAACACAAAACGAAACAUCUUGAAGCAAGGUAUACAUAUUAACAAACAUUAUUUGAGUUAAUAUAUGAAUCAAGAGUACAUAAAGCAUUGAAUUUGUUUUGAAAAGAGCAGAAACUUACCUUGGGCAUCUUCAAUUUUAUAUAAAAUGAAAACAUGAUCAGUGAUGCCCACUUCUUAUGGUUGGAAUGGAAUCAUAUAGUAGGUUUGUAUUUUGUAGAGAUUGAUCAUUCGGUUACAAUUCACAUGGUAAAAGCUUUGUAGAAAUUAAAGAGUUUGUUUCAGUUGGAAUAGUUGGAAUGGUGAUCCAUGUGUUCCGCAGCAUCCAUGGAGUGGAAUUGGCUGAUUAAUAAGGCUGGAAUGCAAAGUCAGAAUGGGCUGGAAGGAAUGGGAUACUUGAGACAUCAAGCACGGUUGUUUAUUGGUGCAUUAGGUUGUUUAUUGGUGUAUUAGAUGUGUAUAUAUGGCGUAUUAGAUGAUACUUGAGACAUCAAGUACGGUUGUUUUGGUGUAUUAGAUGUCUAUAUAUGGCGUACUAGAUGAUUGUAUGGGAUGGUAUUGGAUACAUAUAAUACGGUUAAAUAGCCGUACUUUAUUAUGCAUGUAAUCUAAUACACCCCUCUACUAAUACGCCUGCAAUGUACGUACUAUAUUCAUAAUUUCAACCGUACUCUAUUAACCUUUUUCUAGUA